UGGGUUUGACAUGUUCCUGACCCCCCUGGAAACAGGGGUUCCCUUCGGGGCAGGAUCACAGGUGGUGCAUGGCUGUCGUCAGCUCGUGUCGUGAGAUGUUGGGUUAAGUCCCGCAACGAGCGCAACCCCCGUCGUAUGUUGCCAGCAUUUAGUUGGGGACUCAUACGAGACUGCCGGUGACAAACCGGAGGAAGGUGGGGAUGACGUCAAGUCAUCAUGCCCCUUAUGUCCAGGGCUACACA
rnacentral:rRNA from 1 species